UGGGGAAUUUUGGACAAUGGGGGAAACCCUGAUCCAGCCAUCCCGCGUGUGCGAUGAAGGCCUUCGGGUUGUAAAGCACUUUUGGCAGGAAAGAAACGUCGCGGGUUAAUACCCCGCGAAACUGACGGUACCUGCAGAAUAAGCACCGGCUAACUACGUGCCAGCAGCCGCGGUAAUACGUAGGGUGCAAGCGUUAAUCGGAAUUACUGGGCGUAAAGCGUGCGCAGGCGGUUCGGAAAGAAAGAUGUGAAAUCCCAGAGCUUAACUUUGGAACUGCAUUUUUAACUACCGGGCUAGAGUGUGUCAGAGGGAGGUGGAAUUCCGCGUGUAGCAGUGAAAUGCGUAGAUAUGCGGAGGAACACCGAUGGCGAAGGCAGCCUCCUGGGAUAACACUGACGCUCAUGCACGAAAGCGUGGGGAGCAAACAGGAUUAGAUACCCUGGUAGUCCACGCCCUAAACGAUGUCAACUAGCUGUUGGGGCCUUCGGGCCUUGGUAGCGCAGCUAACGCGUGAAGUUGACCGCCUGGGGAGUACGGUCGCAAGAUUAAAACUUAAAGGAAUUGACGGGGGUGCAUAGCUG
rnacentral:rRNA from 1 species